CGUAGCGGGAGCUGUGAACGCGCGUAGCGGACGGGCGGGCAGCGCUGUGAAUGCGCGUAGCCAGCGGACAGGGAGCGCCAGUGUCAUUACUUAAUCGUCUUAUUUGUUAUGUGACUACCAAAAGGUAGUCUGACUGCUGGAAGAGACAUGGAACGCUUUUGCUUAUGUCUGCUGCUUUGGUGGAUAGCGUUUGCCCCAAAAAGCAAAGAGGAAAAGCAUACUCGCACUUCAAAGGUAAGCAGGGGAUAAAGGCAGGAUACUUCAGUUUUACGGUGAGGUGAGUUCUCCGUAAGGGAUGGGGAAAUAAGACUUGCCUCUGUGAGUUUGAUGCAUCAAGGUGGAAAUGUCUUCUGUCUUGAACCAAGAUAGUUCAUAUGUCUUGGGUACUCCAUACAAGUGUCUUCUCAUGCCCUGUUCAUUGUAUAUCAUUUUAUGUUGGGAACUCAUGUGACUCCUAGAAGGAAGGAUACUUAUCCAUUUAUUGAUCUGUGGUAUGUAAAAUUGAGUAGGACUACUCCAAUAAGUGGUGCAUCUCAGCCUGAUAUGAUUAGCAACAAAGUAAUUGUUAGAGCUUGUUAGAGUUUUUCCUUCUCUCAUGGAACAUGUAAUUGCUUUCUCAUUCAAAGGUAAUUGGAACACCUAAUAGCUUUCUUGUUCACAGCCUUCUUCAAUGUGCUUGGUACUCAUGCUCUUUUCUCCUCAGCCUGUUUUUCUGGAGACAUAGUUGUCUUCAUAAGUUUAAAAGAUGGAGCUUCUUUCAAAGUAGCUUCAUUCGCUCUAAACUUUCAAGCUGUGUUUGUGAGUGUGGUGUCAAAAAGAAAAUAUUCAACUGAGAUUUUCUCAAGGCUAAGUAGAGAGGAAUAAUUAUCUCAUCUGUCUAAAGAGCUUUUCUGAAUGCAUUCCAAAAUUAAGUCUGGGUGUGAGUAAGAUGGGUUGGCUUGCAGUGAUAAUGUGUUAGUGUUCCUAUUUAUUUUGUAGUCCACAGAAUUCCAGAGCUUGGUUUGAUGUCAUAUUUUAAGGGAGAAGAGAAGUACACAGUGCUGUUGAUCUUUUUCUCCUCCAGGCUGCCAUUUUGCU